UAGGUCUUUACGCGUACCAAGUGCUCGGUGUAAACAUGUCUGCUGUAGGCCGUAAGCAGUAAGGCAGUACGAAAUGAAAACAUUUUCUACACUGAUCUCAUUAAAGUGGAUAUGGCAUAGGACGAAAUAAGUGUGACCAAUUGAAGGUUGUAGUCUCUGUACACAAUAUGGCGGUGUAUACGAAUACGAACACAGUUUACUGUGACGAUGAUACGAAAUUCCACGUGUAAUUAAUUAUCUAUAGACGUAGAUGUGUAGCAGUUUUAUCCAAAAUAUUACUUUUUUUAUAAUAAAAAUAGUGAGUAAAAUAGUGAGAUUCCAAAAUUAAAAAAUGUGUUUAUUGUGGAAAAGGAAGUGAAAAUAAACAACAAACGUUUCAUAGCUGCAAGUAUGGAUUAUUACAACACAAUUAAGGACACGAGGACAAAAUAAGCUAUAACAAUACCCUUUAAACUUAUUUAUAAGUUUAGUAGUAGUAGUAUUAUUUAUUAGUAAAAUUAUUUAACAAGAUGGUCAUAAAUAAAAAUUUACGAUUUUUAGAC